rnacentral:rRNA from 1 species
AUUGAACGCUGGCGGCAGGCCUAACACAUGCAAGUCGAACGAGUGGCGGACGGGUGAGAAAUGUCAGGGAAACUGCCUGAUGGAGGGGGAUAACUACUGGAAACGGUAGCUAAUACCGCAUACCAUCGGAUGUGCCCAGAUGGGAUUAGCUAGUAGGAGGGGUAAAGGCUCACCUAGGCGACGAUCCCUAGCUGGUCUGAGAGGAUGACCAGCCACACUGGAGCUGAUACACAGUCCAGACUCCUACGGUAGGCAGCAGUGGGGAAUAUUGGACAAUGGGCGCAAGCCUGAUGCAGCCAUGCCGCGUGUAUUAAGAAGGCCUUCGGGGUGUAAAGUACGUUCAUCGGGGAGGCGUUACCCGCAGAAGAAGCACCGGCUAACUCCGUGCCAGCAGCCGCGGUAAUAC